ACUCAAACAAUCCACUCGUGCUCCUAGCACUGUGGACCGUGCGCCACGGCAGACCAAGACCAGUGCAGACAAAUGUAGAGGAACGGUAACGUUUAUCCUGCUACCAGUGGAGCAUUCUUAUCAGCGCUUGCGGUCUAACGCUCCUUUUAAAAAAAAAAUAUAUAUAUAUUUCAUAGUUCCUCUUACUGAGCGCACUCAUCAGUAGUGCAUCCCCGACAACAUUAGUGCUUUUUUUUUAUUUUAUUUUAUUUUAGAGGAGCGAGAAUUUAUAUCACAAGCAAAACAGCCUUGGGAUUGUAGACUGGGCUGUGUUAACCCCGUUUCCCAGACACGCACAAAAGCCACGCUCCUGCAGGUCCACCUGGAUAAGCUGAGGAAGCCGUCCGGUCUCGGUUAGAGGUCCAGGAGGGAGACGGAGUGGAGAAAUUAGCGCGGAAGACGGGAGCAACAAAGAAACAGGCAGGAUGAACCUCAAGAGUAAUUUGAUUUUCACUCUCUACACUAUUUAUGGGAUUCUACUGAAAGGUGAGUCUGUGUGGUGAAUCCUCUUCUGUGAAGUACUAUGGAUUUGUGAGUUGUUUUUACAUCAGUUACUUGUGCAUUAAACACAGAUUCUCACUUAGGCUUGACUAAGCCCCCCCGCACAGGUUUCACGUUCCACAGAACCUCUAAGGGUUUUAUUUCAAACUAAAAUGAAAAGCUAAGCAGUAUUUCAUCUCUCAUUGCCAACAAAAAAAAA